rnacentral:rRNA from 1 species
AGUUCGGAUCAUGGCUCAGAUUGAACGCUGGCGGGAUGCUUUACACAUGCAGCUGAACGGCAGCACGGACUUCGGUCUGGUGUGGCGAGUGGCGAACGGGUGAGUAAUGUAUCGGAACGUGCCUGGGGUAGCGGGGAUAACUACGCGAAAGCGUAGCUAAUACCGCAUACGCCCUUCGGGGGAAAGCGGGGACCUUUCGGGCCUCGCACUAUUAGAGCGGCCGAUAUCGGAUUAGCUAUUGGUGGGGUAACGGCUCACCAAGGCGACGAUCCGUAGCUGGUUUGAGAGGACGACCAGCCACACUGGGACUGAGACACGGCCCAGACUCUACGGGAGGCAGCAGUGGGAAUUUUGAUCAAUGGGGGGAAACCCUAUUCCAGCCAUCUCCAAGUGUGCGAUGAAGGCCUUCGGGUUGUAAAGCAAUUUUUGGGCAGAAAGAACGGUACGGGAUAAUACUCCCGUGCAACUGACGGUACCUGCAGAAUAAGCACCGGCUAACCACGUGCCAGCAGCCGCGGUAAUACGUAGUGCAAGCGUUAAUCGAAUUACUGGCAAAGGUGGCGCGCAGGCGGUUCGGAAAGAAAGAUGUGAAAUCCCAGAGCUUAACUUUGGAACUGCAUUUUUAACUGAGCUAGAGUGUGUCAGAGGGAGGGAAUCGGCGUGUAGCAGUGAAAUGCGUAGAUAUGCGGAGGAACACCGAUGGCGAAGGCAGCCUCCUGGGAUAACACUGACGCUCAUGCACGAAAGCGUGGGGAGCAACAGGAUUAGAUACCCUGGCAGUCCACGCCCUAAACGAUGUCAACUAGCUGUUGGGGCCUUCGGGCUUGCAGCGCAGCUAACGUGAAGUUGACCGCCUGGGGAGUACGGUCGCAAGAUUAAAAACUCCAAAGAAUUUGACGGGUCUGCAUGUGCGGUGGGAUGAUGUGAUUAUUCGAUGCCGCUGGAAAAUCUUCUACCUGACCUGACAUAGCACUUGAACCCGAGAGAUUUGGGUAUGGCAGCAACCACGGAAACUGCGCAUAGCGCCGUUCGCCGAGAUGUCGUUGAGUCCCGCAACGGAUGUAACCCUUGUCAUUAGUUGCUACGAAAGGGCACCUAAUGAGACUGCCGGUGACAAACCGGAGGAAGGUGGGGAUGACGUCAAGUCCUCAUGGCCCUUAUGGGUAGGGCUUCACACGUCAUACAAUGGUCGGGACAGAGGGUCGCCAACCCGCGAGGGGGAGCCAAUCCUGUGAAACCUGAUCGUAGUCCGGAUCGCAGUCUGCAACUCGACUGCGUGAAGUCGGAAUCGGCAUAGUAAUCGCGGAUCAGCAUGUCGCGGUGAAUACGUUCCCGGCCCUGUACACACCGCCCGUCACACCAUGGGAGUGGGUUUUACCAGAAGUAGUUAGCCUAACCGUAAGGAGGGCGACGGGUAGGAUUCAGCGACUGGGGUGAAGUCGUAACAAGGUAG